rnacentral:rRNA from 1 species
AACGAACGCUGGCGGCAUGCCUAACACAUGCAAGUCGAACGAGACCUUCGGGUCUAGUGGCGCACGGGUGCGUAACGCGUGGGAACCUGCCCUUAGGUUCGGAAUACCUCCCCGAAAGGGGUGCUAAUACCGGAUAAUGUCUUCGGACCAAAGAUUUAUCGCCUUUGGAUGGGCCCGCGUUGGAUUAGCUAGUUGGUAGGGUAAAAGCCUACCAAGGCGACGAUCCAUAGCUGGUCUGAGAGGAUGGUCAGCCACACUGGGACUGAGACACGGCCCAGACUCGUACGGGAGGCAGGAGUGGGGAAUAUUGGACGAUGGGCGAAAGCCUGAUCCAGCAAUGCCGCGUGAGUGAUGAAGGCCUUAGGGUUGUAAAGCUCUUUUACCCGGGAUGAUAAUGACAGUACCGGGAGAAUAAGCUCCGGCUAACUCCGUG